UUGAGACGGCUCCACGAAAAGGAUUCUGACGUACCAAGAAUAAGUAUUUGAGGCUAACCCCAGAUUUCUUGGUAUCAACUUUGGGUAGUUUAAUGGCUGACCUAGUGAAAUAGGUCCUGCUAGGGUUUAAGUAGUCUUGCAGAGGCAAUUUUACUUCUUCAUCUCUAGUUGAGAUUGAAUUAGUUUUAACAGGGAUUGCAGUCCCCUGUUCAUUUAUGAUUUGGUUAAUUGUGUUGCUUAGUUUACCUUUAGGUUCUCCUUGGACUACUCCUUCAUUAGCAUUAUUGGUAAGAGAAAACUUACCUGCUUCCGGCGGGGUGUCGUCGAUUGAUUUUUGAUGUGCAGCGUCGAUCGAUAUUUCCGUCGACUCGUCGCUCGAUG
rnacentral:lncRNA from 1 species